rnacentral:lncRNA from 1 species
CACAUCUCAGACAAGCAGUGUGCAGAGCUGGGGGCCGACAUAUGAGGGCCGAGCGAUGCUGCCCCGCCCCACCCCGCCCGCUGCAGCCCGUGCCACUCACACUUGGGCCUCCAGCUGAGGGGCCCAGUGCCCAGAGCCUCCCAAAGGGUGCUGAGCGGACACGGCGGUGCCCCAAACGCCCCUCUCGUUGCCGAGGACACACAUCCCCUGGGAAAUGGACAGUGAAGCAGGCCUCUGACUCGUGCCCGCCCCAGGGUGGGGUCCCAGGCUUCAAUGGGGCCCAGCAUGGUUUGUGCCUCCCGCCACUGGGUCAUGUUGCCAAGGUGCCUUGAUGUGGGCUGCACAGCAACCCCUGACCCUCGUCAAGGUCGGUGUAAGUAAGGGUCCUGUCCUGCCACCCAGAGCUUGGGCAGGUGGAGUCCAACUCCAGAUGAACUGUGAGGCGUGAAGGGCUCUGAGCUCAGCUCCCAGCCGGAGGGGUCAGCACCUCCGGACGGCUGGGCACCCCCCGGCGCGGGCACACAUCUGGGCCCUGGGUGUCCCAGAAUGAAGUCGGAGACGUCCCAGGUCCCCGCCUGCUCCCACCAUCUACUGUCAAUGGGCUAGCCUCCAUUAAAGGCACAGCAGCGCUACCUGCACCCACAGCUCACCGCGCAGUCCUCCCACGGUGAGGCCAGGCAGCCCGAGGGCGCAGGACACACCAGCCUUGCAGGGCUCUCUGUUCACUCCAGCUGCUCCCCAGCCCCCAAGGCGGGCUGCGGGGAGGAACGAAGGCCAGCCUCCGGCCGCUGGCUGCCGUACUCCUGAGCUGCCUGGAGGUUCCUGCCUGGGCGGGGCUGGGCCUCCCCAUCCUCUGCCCUGCGUCCAUCCCAGUGGGUAAGGCACCAUUCUGCCCCCCUUCUGGGAACAACAGCUCUUGUGCCCAGGCUGCCAGGAAGCCACUUAGGGGAAAACAGUCUUCUGAGCCUUAAAGCUCGUUUCCUGCCUCAGGUUGUGCCCCCAGGAUCCACACAGGGCCUGCCACACCUCCAGCCUGACUGGCGGGCCUGGGGGUGGCGGGUGGGUGGACAGGCUCGGUCGAGGGGCGCUCACCUGGAGGCACAGGAAGUUCGGCAACGGCCUGAGUGAGGGGGGCCUCGGCCAGCCUGGGGGCUUGGGGAUCACCGCGACUGCAGGGUCGAGCCCUCUAGCGGGCUAUAGCCAGUCGGGGGAGAUGGACGUGGUACCCAGGGGGCGGGGCCCCAACGCUCCGCUGAGCCAGAGAGCAGGGCUUCUUUUGAGGAUCCCCUUUAUUGUGGCAGACACGGCUCAGGGCAGCUCCCUGUCCAGGUGGCCCCUCAGGCCAUGCUGCUGCUCAGCUGCAUGGCAAAGUCCUGCACGUGCUCCUUCAGCGUCUGCCGGGCGUCGGCCUGGGCCCGCUUCUCCCGCGCUCGC